UUUUCCUAUAUUGCACUUGUGAUUUCAUGAAUAUGAAUAUUUUCUAGUAAUAUUAUUUGACUGUGGCGCUAUGCUAUUCAGCGUUGCUGUUGACAAUUAUACCGGAUCUGGGAUGGGUGGUUCAGAGGUGAAACAAUAAUGAACUCUUGCCUCCUUUUUCAGAUAUCAUGGCUCGAGAUUUCUUUGAGGAAGAAAACAUCAAGAGAUAUGCUGGACCCUAUGUCAGAGAUGGACCCUAUGUCAGAGAGGUGUUUCUGGGUACACAUUGUUUCUUUCAAGACAAUGACCCAAAACACACUGCUUACCUGGGUUUGCAUUGCAAAUGAGGGCAUAAACUGGGUCAAGACGCCAGCAGAGUCUCCUGAUUUAAACCCGAUCAAAUUUGUUUGGCAUCAACUGAAAACAUUCUUCAUUGUAACCACAAUGCCACAUCUAUAUUUCCAAUUACGUUUAGAGUUUGGGAUUUACAAAUGUGCGCUUUUCAUUAUUAGUUACAUUGUUUUAGUUUGAACGUGCAGACUUUUUUCUUUAAAUUAUUGUUUUAUGUAGGAUGCUACAUUUUUGACCGGAUGCUAUUGUAAGUAAGCCUAAUAAAACAAUCCUACUUCUAUUAGGCAGUUAAGCCUCAUAGCCUACCUCAGCCAGUUGUUCUUUUAUAUAGGUCUAGGUUCUGAAAAAAGACACAAUUAAGCCCUCUUGUUGUUUGUAAAGUCAAAUUAAAAUUAAGAUUAUUGUUGAAAUGAAUUUGCUUGAAUUUGCAGUCAGAUGGAACAGAGUAAAUUGGCAUUUUAACAUCAUAG